AUACGGAGGGUGCAAGCGUUAAUCGGAAUUACUGGGCGUAAAGCGUACGUAGGCGGUUAUUUAAGUCAGAUGUGAAAGCCCCGGGCUUAACUUGGGAACUGCAUUUGAAACUGGGUAACUAGAGUUUAGUAGAGGGGAGUGGAAUUUCAGGCGUAGCGGUGAAAUGCGUAGAGAUCUGAAGGAACACCAGUGGCGAAGGCGACUCCCUGGACUAAAACUGACGCUGAGGUACGAAAGCGUGGGUAGCAAACAGGAUUAGAAACCCCAGUAGUCC
rnacentral:rRNA from 1 species